rfam:Camelus ferus unplaced genomic scaffold scaffold1577, whole genome shotgun sequence.
GAGGGUAUAGCUCAGUGGUAGAGCACAUGCUUAGCAUGCAUUUGGUCCUGGGUUCAAUCCCCAGUACUGCCA